CAAAAACAUGUCCUUUAGGAUUGAAUUUAAGGUCUAGCCUGCCCACUGAGUUAUUAAAUGGCCGCAGUAUUUUAACUGUGCAAAGGUAGCAUAAUCAUUAGUCUUUUAAUUGAAGGCUUGUAUGAAUGGUUGGACAAAAUAUAUAUUGUUUCAUUUAAAUUAAUAGAAUUUUAUUUUUUAGUUAAAAAGCUGAAAUUUAAUUAAAAGACGAGAAGACCCUAUAGAUCUUUAUAGUUGUUGAGUUUAAUUUAUGAAGAAUGGUUUAUUUUUAAUUUAUUCAACUAUUUUAUUGGGGUGAUAGUAAGAUUUAUUUAACUCUUGUAUAAUUUAAUACAUAAAUUAAUGAUUAGUUGAUCCAGUAUUAUUGAUUAGUAAAAUAAGUUACCUUAGGGAUAACAGCGUAAUUUUUUUAGAGAGUUCAUAUCGAUAAAAAAGAUUGCGACCUCGAUGUUGGAUUAAGAGAUAAGUUUGGGCGCAGCCGUCAA
rnacentral:rRNA from 1 species